AAGUCCCGCAAGGGAUUAGUAGAGUGGCAAACGGGUGAGUAACACGUGGGUGACCUGCCUUCGAGUGGGGGAUAACGUCCCGAAAGGGACGCUAAUACCGCAUAACAUCCUGCUUUUUAAGAGGUGGAGAUCAAAGCCGGGGAUCGCAAGACCUGGCGCUUGAAGAGGGGCCCGCGUCCGAUUAGCUAGUUGGUGGGGUAAUGGCUCACCAAGGCAACGAUCGGUAUCCGGCCUGAGAGGGCGGACGGACACACUGGGACUGAGACACGGCCCAGACUCCUACGGGAGGCAGCAGUGGGGAAUUGUUCGCAAUGGGCGCAAGCCUGACGACGCAACGCCGCGUGGAGGAUGAAGAUCUUCGGG
rnacentral:rRNA from 1 species